AUAGUUACUUGGGACAACAGUUUUAGCAGGGCUCUCUUUCUCCUUUCCUGAUCUCUCUGUUAAGCUGCCUGGCUCAUUUGAUAUCACAUCCAAAUUAUCAGCUGAUUGCUCUAUUGUUUUGGACAAUGCCCUGAAGCAUACCAAAAUGUGUCUGGAAUUGGUGGGUUCUUGGUCUUACUGACUUUAAGAAUGAAGUUGCGGACUUUUGCGGUGAUCCACCCUACCACAUAUUGUCUCCUAAUGGCCGUCCAGUUUAUCCUGGAGCCCUUGCAUGACACAGGCCUAUCGAAGCAUAGGAGAUGCCAAUAUUUUACCUCUUGGGUACUUUCUGUGUAGAAGAUUCAUAACAAGAACAAUACUUAUUCUGCAAUUCUUUAUAUAAAGCUCCAGAGGGAAGUGAGAAGGAUGUUCACUUGCUGGUGAGAGAAGGAGCUGGUUCCAUCCAUUACGCAGUCCCCUGGGAGCGCUAAAUGCAACUUUAUCUCAACGGGGAGUGGACGAUGAGCAGGACGUCGCUAGAGGGAAAGAGCCUCACUUCCCGUUUCCUUUGGCAGCGCCCUUUUCCCGACCUAAGGGAGCAGACCUUCGUUGGUUGGCGUGAGGACUGGCGGGAGAGGUUUUGUGCCAGGAUCCGCACUGUCUGGGGUGAACGCUCCUCACCUUUGACCUGAACCGCCAACUUCCCAUCCUCCACUUUUGGAGAGCGCGCCUGAUAGCUGCUGCCCACCUGGGCACUGACAUCCUCCUUCCGACCGGGUGCGGAGAAAGCACAAAGGAAGUAGACCAAGGAGACUGAAGGUGGUUAUGAAGACUGUGCAUCUCUGAGGACAUCUUAAACAAAGAUGACCCAAAUCUUUGAUCUUCAAAUAGUCGAUGUGAACUGCUUAACAAAAUGCCCUGGGAAAACUCUGUCUGAAACAAGCAGCUUGGGGGUUUGAUUUCAUUAGUUACUGGACAAGAACUGGAAUGGAGUGAAAAAUCUUCAUUCAUUUCUUGGUCAGAUGGAGAGAGGAGAAAAAAAGAAGUGGGUUUCCAUUCACUUCCAUUUUCUAACUGAUCAUUAGUUAGAGAACCUUUGGAAAGGUUUAGCUCAGUUUUUUCUUCCAACUUAUCAGGUUCCUCAAGAAAUUCACUGCCUUGAGAUGACUUUGAUAACCCAUCCAAAUCCAGUGACUUAAAACCGUUAUUACAAGGGCUCUUGCUGUUGUCUGACUCUGACAUCAUUGAAUCCAACUCAGAGAUUUUGUCAAGGUAAGCAGCAUCCAUCGAUGCUUCACUGGAUGUUCUUGUCCGGUUCAUUUCAAAAGAGCGAAUAGAAUUCAACCUUUUGGAUAAACAUAAGCCUGAUUUCUCACUCAAUUUUGAAGAUAUUUCUCCAACAGAAUUUGCUAUCGUGUUCCCCUCUGAACUUUCAAAAUCUAAGUUUUGGGCAUAGCUUGUGGAACAACAGUCCCAAAAUCCUGUCUUUGGGGAAGAAAAACAUUCUGAUUUCUUUUCAUUUUCACUUCUACUUAUAUCAUCUUCUGAAGAAUCUUUAUUAGAAACAUUUGAAGAAUCACAAAAAUCAUCAAACACCAAUUUUCUGAGAUGGUUUGAGUGCUUUUUGGAACCUCCUGCUUGGACCACAGAGCUCUCUCUAUUUUCUGGAGUACUGAGCUGAAGGCAACUAAGGGACAAAGGAGUACAAGGAGCUGGAAGAUCAUAAAGUUCUUCAUCUUUGUAGGGUACACAGUCACUUGGUUUAUUCCCCCAUUCUCUUUCCAAAUAAGUAUCCAUACUUGUAUCUGUCACAUCUAACAUUACUUCUACCUGUUCUUGAUAUAGGUCUUUGUUCUUAGAACAGUUAAGGUCUGCUUUGCUGGUACUUUCCUGCCUUGCAGAACUGGUGUCACACAGUCUGCUGCUGGAAGGCUUCGCUAGGUGAGAAGAACUGGAGGUGGAUGAGCCAGGCUGCUUUCUGGCACUAUCGCCUUGAUUCUUUGACACCACAUCCUCCUCACUGCCUUUGCUCCCUUUGCCAUCUGCAGAAAGUGCUGUCUGGCAAAUGGAAUUCAUAGCUUCUUUCUCUUCACUUGAAUUUUUUAGCUGUGCAACUUGAGAUUCUAGUUCCUCUAUAUACUUAUCACUUCGUUCCAGGGCUUUCUUGAGGCGAUUGGUUUCACGCUCAUACUGUUCUACUUUGGACUGAAGAGCAGCAACUGCAAACCUUCCAAACCUACAAAGAAUGGAAAGAUAGUUAAUCUUAUAACUCAAGCUUUUUUCUUUUCAAGGUUUGAGAGUGCAAACUGUCCCAGGCUAUUCUAAUUUCACCUAACAGUGACAUUUCAGACCACUCAAUGAGUAGGGCAAAUGCCAGAUGUAUAUUUUCAAAAAAUGGUUUCCCCACUUACAUAAUAAUAAACAUAUGAUAAUAAUAGC
rnacentral:lncRNA from 10 species